ACGGGUAUAGCCUCAGUAACGGCGAGUGAAGCGGCAAAAGCUCAAAUUUGAAAUCUAGCACUUUCAGUGUUCGAGUUGUAAUUUGAAGAAGGUAACUUUGGUUUUGGCUCUUGUCUAUGUUCCUUGGAACAGGACGUCACAGAGGGUGAGAAUCCCGUGCGAUGAGAUGCCCAAUUCCAUGUAAAGUGCUUUCGAAGAGUCGAGUUGUUUGGGAAUGCAGCUCUAAGUGGGUGGUAAAUUCCAUCUAAAGCUAAAUAUUGGCGAGAGACCGAUAGCGAACAAGUACAGUGAUGGAAAGAUGAAAAGAACUUUGAAAAGAGAGUGAAAAAGUACGUGAAAUUGUUGAAAGGGAAGGGCUUGAGAUCAGACUUGGUAUUUUGCGUUCCCUUCCUUUUUGGUUGGGUUCCUCGCAGUUUACUGGGCCAGCAUCGGUUUGGAUGGUAGGAUAAUGACAUUGGAAUGUAGCUUUACUUCGGUGAAGUGUUAUAGACUUUGUUGAUACUGCCUAUCUAGACCGAGGACUGCGUCUUUGACUAGGAUGCUGGCGUAAUGAUCUU
rnacentral:rRNA from 1 species